rnacentral:lncRNA from 1 species
GGUCUUUGAUUCAUUUGAAAUUCUUUUAGAGUUUGCAUAAUGAAUUCAAAUCUGCCUCUGGCAUAGAGAUUUUUUUUUUUUUUUACCCCUGCAAGGUACUGGGGAUUGAACCCAGGGGCACUUAACCACUCAGCUGUAUCCCCAGCCCAGGGUCUUACUGAGUUGUCCAGACUGGCCUUGAACUUGGGAUCCUCCUCCUUUAGCCUUCUAAGUAGCUGGGAUUACAGAUGUUCGCCAUGGUGCCCAGCUCAGUAUUUUGUUUUAAUUUUGGUAAGAUUGACUCUCUCUUUUUUUCUUUGCAGGGAUUCUGUCUUCCUUUGUUUACUCAUGUUUAUAAAGUAAGUUCAUAAUUAGCUUGUCUAACUUGAAAAAUUUAAUAUUUUUAUUGAUACCACAUUAAAUUUAACUUGGGGAGAACUGACAUAUACUUAAGAUGAAAAAUCUUACUAUCUGAGAACAUGAUACAUCUUUCCAUUUGUACAGUUCUGCUUUUUUGCCUUUCAAGAGAAUGUUUUUGCAUUUUUAUGCAAGUUUUUUAUUUUUUUGGUUGAGACAGUUUCUAACUAUGCUACCCAGACUGCUCUCAAACUCUUGAGCUCAAACAGUCCUCCCACCUCCACUUCUAGAGUAGCUAGGAACACAGGUUUGUACCCCUGUUGCUCCUGGCAGUUUUGCAGAUUGAUUAGGAUUAGAUGAGGUCAUCAGGGUAGACCCCUAUAAUUUAAUACAUGUGGCUUUGUAAGAGAUCAGACAUACUCAUAAGGAAUUAUCCAUACAUACUCAUAAGGAAUUAUCAUACUCAUAAGGAAUUAUCCAUUCUCCUCUGAUUAUUUUUAAUAUACUUAAUUUUUAUCAAAUGUCUUUUAGUAUCUAAAAAAAACCAGCAAUUUCCCUUCUAAGCUCUAUUACUCUGAAGAAUUAUAUUAAUGGAUCUACUAAUAUUGAACUACCCUUGCAUUCCUGGAAUAAACAACACUUAGUCCCUGUUAACACCCAGGGUGGCCUAGAUUGAGGUGUGGUAACAAAUAGCCCCUAACCUUAGGAGCUUACAAGCAUUUAUUUCUUGUUCAUGCUACAUGUCAUACAGUGGGUCAGCUGUUCCAGAACUCAAGGCCUUUGAGUAGCUGCCAUCUGAAACAUUACCUAUUAAGGAAGAAGGAAAAGAUGAUAUUAUGAACCAAGGGUUCUCCCUUAACUUUUGCUUAGAAAUCAUGUCACUUCUACUCACAGAACAAAUUACAUGUCACACCUAUAAGUUCAACAAGGCAGGGAUGUAUAAUCCUCCACAGGAAUGAGCAAUGCAAAGAAGAAGAACCAGAAUAUUCUGUGAAAAACAAUACAGUGUACCACUUAUAUGUCAUUGGGCUUUAAUAUUUUAUUUAGAAUUCUUUCAUCAACUUUCAUAGGGGAAAUCACUCUGUUUAUAUAGUUUCUCACUUGGUAAAAAUAACUUGGACAUAAAAGUAAGACUGCAAGGUAAUUGACACAUAGUAACUAAUGUUAAGUAUUUUGCCAGGCCCAGUGGCAUGCCUGUAAUCCCAGCAGCUCAGGAGGCUGAGGCAGGAGGACCAGCAAAAGCGAGACACUAAGCAACUCAGUGACACCCUGUCUGUAAAUAAAAUACAAAACAGGGCUGGGGAGGUAGUGCCCCUGACUUAAAUCCCCAGUACACCCCCUCCAAAAAAAAAGUAUCUUGAUGGCUUAUUGUUGAAUAAUAAUAAAAGCCUUUUGAUAUUAUACUACAUCUAAAUUAAAAUAUUUUCCUUUUAAAAAGAAAAAAAAAAAAAAGUCCCUUUGGAAAAUUUCUCCUGGAAAGAAGAGGGGAAAAAAUGAAGGAAUUUAGGAAUGAAAAAUACCUUCUCCUGAAAAGCGAAAUUUCACUGACCUGCACCCAACAUGUGUCUUAGGAGUAUGUUUUUAAUAUUUGUCACUUGCCACUUUCCUACCCUGGCUGGUAAAAUGUGAGUUUCUCCGCACACAUUCCAGACAGUACUUUCUACUGAGCAACUGUGCUAAAGUUGGCCAAAGGACAUGCCUGAACAGAGCAGCUUACUAAAGAGGCAAGAAUCUUCCUGUGGGAGUAGCCUGGAGGUUUUCCUAUCAGCCUCUGCCCCCUGAAAUCCCCCACCCUACCAAGUCUAUGAGCCUCCUGUGUAAACAGCAGCUUUUGCCUGGGCAUCCAACAAGCAAACAUUGCCUCACCUGUAAGGCAGGCGAUUUGUUAAUGUUUAUUCAUAUUUUUCAUAUAGAUAAACCAAACUGAAAACAAGUAGCCCAAUGGCCUAAGGCCACUUCCAGAGCUGCUUGCUUCCUCAAAGUCCCCUGGAGCACUGCUGCUUGAGUAUUUUCCUUACCUUUCCCAUAGCAAAGGACACCAUGCAUCAAGUUCUGGCUGUUUCCCAUAUAAGUAAUUUAGUUCAGCUUCAUCUUUGGUAUAUAACUUUACCAAAAUUGGGCAUAAUAAAACCCUGUCUUAAGGUAUUAUCAAGUCCCUGGGUUAGUGAAUAGAGAAUAUUCACUAAUAUUCACCUAAUAUUUGGAGGCGAAAGCCAACUAAUUCUAGAAAAUGGAAACAAAUGACAAUGAAAUUUGUGAUAGUUAUCUGAGUUCUACAGGUCCUGUUAGUACACAUUCAGCACAUUUCAGUCUCUGAAAUCUUCAUUAAUAGUUAAUAUAAUACUUACUCCAAAAUCUCUGACAGACACAAACUACAUUCAAAUGUUAACACUGGCAUUCACAUUAUGGCCAACCUACCUUCCCAGCCUUUUCUUUUACUUUAUCUACAGCUAACCUAAACACUGGCCAAACUGGAAGUCUUUCUUCUGAGACAUAGCUCCUGCCUGCCUCCGUGGGUGUUUUGUGUGUGUGUGUGUGUGUGUGUGUUUGUGGUUUUUUUAAUAUUUAUUUUUUAGCUUUAGGUGGACACAAUAUCUUUAUUUUUAUGUGGUGCUGAGGAUCGCAUGCCAGGCAAGCAUGCUACCACUUGAGCCACAUCCCCAGCCCUCCUUGGGCGUUUUUGUUCUUGCUGUUUUUCCCAGCGGAAGGCACUCUCCAUCAUGUCUGCUUAUCAAAACCUACAAGAGUUCAAGGCCAAUUGGGACACUGUUCCACACAUCUAUAAUUCUGACAGUUCUCGAAAGCUCUUUCUCCAGUCUGGGCUCUUUUUAAUGGGAUGUGCUAGGGGCACUUGUUCCAACUGGGCUCAUGGCAAAAAGUCACCUUCUCCUCUAAUGACAAUAUGCAUUAUCCAAGACAUCAUCCACGUAGUUAAUGGGAGUCAAGACUGAGUCACAGUGAUUACAGGAUAUACAGGAAGUAUAACACACAUCAUUGCUAUCCUUAAAGAACAGGAAAGACAAUGUCUACUACAAUGACCAAGUUUCAGCUUGUUCAGAAUUACCCACAAAGAUGCUAUAUACAUAAAUGGAAGUGAACUUGAAAAAAUACCUGGUGGGGCGUGGUGGUGCACACAAGUAAUUCCAGGUACUUUGGAGGCUGAGGCAGGAGGAUUGAAAGUUUGAGCCAGCCUGAGCAACUCAGUGAAACACUGUCUCAAAAUUUAAAAUAUUAAAAAGGCCAGGGUAUAGCUUAGAGAGCACUUGCCUAGUAUAUGCAGGUCCCUGAGAUCAAUUCCCAGCACCAAAAAAUUACCAAAAAUAAAAGCCAAAGAUGGUAACUCUCAAGUAGAAAUAGUAGUUUUUCACUAUUUCCUGUCAUUUGGAUUAAAAAGCCUCUUCAUUGAGUCAAAUUGUACACAAACAAAAACUGUCACUUGCUUUUACUUCAGGCCCACCCCAUUUUACUAUGCUUUGGCCGUAGCAAUGAAACAAAAAACCCUAACAUACACGGAAAGGAAGUAAAAGUUGUCAAAGAAGUGUCAGAUCUGAAGCAAUACAUAAUCUGACAUAUACACAAUAGUAUGUAAUUGUUAAAGAAUAAAGGGGCACCAAAAUCUGUGUACAGUGAGCUAUUAUUUUAAAAGACUUUGGAGGUUGUAAUACUUAGCAAUGAACACACUUGCUCUCAGGGAAACAGAAUGAUUUUUCACUGUAUAAACAAAGAACAUUAAGUGUAUUUUUAAGGCACAAACUCUAGAAUAGAAUGAUUAAACAUCUCAUACUCUACUGGCAUGUUUUUUUUUUUUUCCCUGACAAGUUUUUUCUCCAAAGAAUAUUAAGAAUGCAAGAAAGAUCUUAUGAAUAUCCCUCACUGUAGACAAUUACAAUUAUAUUAUGCCUCAUAAUACUAAGAAGGUUAAAUGGGCCUUUUCAAAGCAAACAUACCAUAACUUCUGUUUUUGUAAAUUCUGAUUCUCAGAAGGAAAAUCUUUUAAAGCUUCACAAUAUCGUUUCUUGUACAACUAAUACUAGCUAAGAAUACAAUGCUCUAAUAUGUGGUUAAAUGGCUUGGAAAGCAGAAGGUUAAGGACCUACUAGCUUUAAACUCACUUUUCCACAAUAAUUUUAUACAUAUUUAUGUACAUACAUAAGCUUUCAAACUUUUGGGAUGUUUUGGUAUUAAAGCAAUUUUGCAAAUCUUUAAUCAGACACACAGUCGGGAACUGAAAUAAAAACAAGAAGGAACAAAAAAAAAGCAAACACAAAUUUCCAAAAUGAUUUUGAGAAUGCCCACAAGCUACAUAACUACUAACAUGAAUUCAGGGUAGAAUGACCAAAACAAAAGUACCUGGUCUUUUCUCAGCAGUCUAAUGCCAAAACUUUAAAAGCUUCUUUAAUGCUAGUAAACCUUAGCCUUUUUAUUGAUGGAGCUAAAAAUUAGGGGGAAGGGGUGGGGAGAGGAAAAGAAAUGAGAACCAACAGAGAUCAACAUUUUAUUAUUAAUACUCAUUCCUUUUGUCUUAUGCUUUGCUUUUAUAUAAAUACAGACCACUUAAAUAAAUUACCUUAUAAACUUAUAAUAAAAAUAUUUUGAUUUAAUUUAAAAACCACAAUAGCAUUUGUUUGUGGUCAAAUUAGAAUUAUACCCACAUUACCAUAUGCCCACACCUAGAGCCAAGAGAACUGGCUCACAGGAGUGUCUGCACGCAGAUGGCUGUCAUUCCUGGUGAGCACAUGGUGGAGAUGAGAGAGGCCAAACUUGAAGAAUGCUGUCAUUCUAAUUACUUUUACUCCAUUUUUUUACUAUAUCUUCUCUCUGACCACGAACACAGGAAUCUUCUGCCCAUCCUUGGGCUCCAAGACAACCUCCUGAAGUUGCCACCUAAAAAGCCAAAAGGAUUGUCUCUUUAAUCUACAAAUCAGAAGCAAAAUACGUGGUCCAAAAGUAAUGGAGAAGUAGAGGAUAGGAAAGGCAGCAGAACACAACAGACACUAGUAUGGCAAUAUGUAAAUCAAUGGAUGUGUAACUGAUGUAAUUCUGCAAUCUGUAUAUGGGGUAAAAAUGGGAGUUCAUAACCCACUUGAAUCAAAGUGUGAAAUAUGAUAUAUCAAGAAAUUUGUAAUGUUUUGAACAACCAACAAUAAAAAAUUUAAAAAAAAAAGAAUAAUAAUGUCUUGGGCUGGGAUUGUGGCUCAGUGGUAGAGCACUUGCCUAGCACAGGCGAGGCCCUGGGUUCGAUCCUCAGCACUACGUAAAAAUAAAUAAGUAAAACAGAGAUAUUGUGUCCAACUACAACUAAAAAAAUAAAAGAACAUGAUUUUAAAAAGAAGAAGAAUGUCAACAUUUUUAAAACAUAAUUUUACAUCAGUGCUGUGUUAACAUCAUGUUUUAACAUUCUGCACUGGGCUCUCAUUAUUUAAUCAAGGCAGGUUUAUGGAUCACUGACUGACAGGUGAAUGGAAGGGGCAUCAGGAAGGAGAGGGAGCAGCUUAUUUCCCAUUUCCUAAUUCACAUCAACCUUCAAUUCCUGGCCUGGAAUCCAGCCAGCUCCUCCACUAAUCCCAGGCUCAGAGGUCAAUGAGCCCAGGGUGAGGUAGGUGGGGGCUGCCUUAGGGCUGCCUGUUCCUUUUGUCCUCAGGAAUUAAAAUACAUCCUGGCUAAACAGCAAACAUCUCUGAGAGAGGCUUCCUGUGGGGGAAAUGAGUGGAUGUAGCUAUUGGCAACCAGACAAGAAAAGCCAAUUAACUGGGUGGAGGGCUUAUGCUGAGAAUGUGAUGAAUAAUUUUGGAUUAGGACUCCAUGCCUUUAUUCGCUUGUAAUGACUGAGGCAGCAGAGUUAGAAGCUGGAAUACAGCAUCAAAUUAUUGUAGACUAAACCACUAUAACUAUCAAGUGUUUCAAAUUCAGCAGCAGGAAGAGAGGACAAUUCAGUAGAUUGUAUUGGAUAAAUUGUCUGGACUGAGCUAAAAGCCAAAGCACGGACUCGCUGCCCAGCCACGAAGCUUUCAGCUUCCAGCUUUGAAAACGAAUUCUUAUUACUGCCAUCAUUUAGCGACAAAUGAAUCAGGGUUGGUUUUUUUGUUGUGGUUUUUUUUUGUUUGUUUGUUUUUUGUUUUGUUUUCCAUCAGGAGAUUCUCUACUCCCCAACAUCCUACCACUUUCCCAUAACACCUUUGAAAGAGGGCAACUCUGGGUGAUCUGGUGUAGAGAUGGCCCUCUGACUUGGAUCCAAAAACAGGAAUUUUCAACAGUGGGUGUAAAUUGUCAGAGAGGAGAAAUGCAAUUUGAGACAUCGUUAUCAUCUCAAAACUAUCAAAACAGGGCUUCCUAGAGCCAGGUCUAUAAAAUCCAAUAAUUAGCUGCAGAAUCAAGUUGUUUUCUAACAGCCCAUCUGGAGAAUCCAACUGUUUUUCCAAAUGUUCUGCCCUCUUUACAUGUUUUGGUGAGGUCAAUGGCAGACCUUUCAUUUGGCAAAAAUGUUUUUAUACAUCAAAAUAAUAAGAUGAAUUCAUAAACAAAAAUACAGCUAAGUGAAUAGGCUUGGGAUAAACAAGUAGAGCAAAACGCUAAAUGUGGACUACAAAUAGCAGCUAUUGGGUGUUCACAGUAUAAGUUCUAUCUUUUCUGAAUGUUUGAAAAUUUCUAUACUAAAAUAGGGAAGAAAUAAGAUAAAAAAUGAAAUCCACUGUUAAAUAGAGAAACUAUUACCAGCAAAUUUUGGCCUGGACCAUAAAGAACAGGCUUUAAGGAAAAAGAACUGUUGGACAUCCACAGGGUCUGCAUCUGGGAAUUCAACCAACAGAGGAUCAAAAAUAUUUUUAAAAAUGCACAGACUUAAGCUGGAGAUGUGGCUCAAGCUGUAACGUGCUCUCCUGGCAUGUAGGGGGCGCUAGGUUUGAUCCUCAGCACCACAUAAAAUAAAAUAAAGAUGUUGUGUUCACCGAAAACUAAAAAAUAAAUAUUAAAAAAAAUUCUCUCUCCCCCCCACCUCUAAAAAAAAAAUGUACAGACUUGCAGGCUGGGAUUAUGGCUCAGUGGUAGAAUGCUUGCCUAGCAUUGGAGAGGCACUGGGUUCAAUCCCCAGCACCACAUAAAAAUAAAAACAAAUAAAAUAAAGGUAUUGUGUCCAUCUACAACUACAAAAAAAAAAUUUAAAAAUGAACAGACUUGGGCUGGGGUGUGACUCAGUGGUAGAGCACUUACCUAGCAAGUGUGAGGCACUGAGUUUGAUCCUUACACCACAUAAAAAUAAAUAAAGGUAUUUUUUUAAAUACACAGAGUUUUGUCAUUAUUUCCUAAACAAUAAGUAUGACAUUUAUUUACACACUGUUUACAUUGUGCUAGUUAUAGGUAAUCUAUUGACAAUUUAAAGUAAAUGAAAGGGUGUGCAUAGUUUAUAUCCAAAUACAGCUAAUCCUUGAACAACAAAUGUUUGUGCAGUGGAGGUCACUCAUAUUUGGGCUAUUAUUUUGGAGAGAUCUUUGACAAUUAAAACAACUUGUAGAAGC